ACACACACACACACAUAUAUAUAUAUAUAUAUAUAUACACACACAGACACAAGGUUAUACUAAUGUAUAUUUAUGUGCGAUAUGUUUUUAAAAGUUAAAAAGACAAAAAAAGAAACAAUUGACUGGAUAUGGCAUCUUCAAAGAUUGUUUAAAACAAAACUUAAAUGAUGACAAUGUUGUUCUCUCACGCACACACACAUACAUACACACACAUACAUACACACACACACAUACAAGAUGGAGAUGUUUCCAUAUUUUUUUAUAAUUUUUUGAACUUGUGUAAAUAUCUCAUUUAAAAAAAUAGAAGAUAAAAAAAACCAAAAAAAAUUGCAGCAUCUUUUUGUCUGAAACAAACAAUUUCUGGGGUGAGAUUAUAUACCCUGUCCCCACUCUCCAAAAUUUGUUUUUGUUUAUUAUUAUUAUUAUCAUUAGUUCGAAUUCCGCCGAGGUCGACUUUGCCUUUCAUCCUCUCGGGGUCGAUAAAAUAAGUACCAGUUGAGUAUUGGGGGUCGAUGUAAUCGACUGGCCGCCUCCUCCAAAAUUUCAGGCCUUGUGCCUAUGUUAGAAAGGAUUAUUAUUAUUAUUAUCCGAGUUUCUGCCAUACCCAUUUGAUUCAUUUUGUCUCGUCGCCUUCCUUCCGCAAUACAGACACUUUCUGCCCCUCAUUUUCUGUUUUUCGUUGAAUAAAACAAAUCGUAAGUGAACCACAGUUUCAAAAAACAGUGACUGGUAGUGUAUAUUAGAGCGAGAUUUGUAUCAAUAAAUUGAAAUAAUUCUUAUUGAUCAGUUAUUUUCUCAAAAUUUGGUAGAUGAGUUAUCAAUAUACAUACAUUGUGAAUGUGAUGUGUGUGUAUAUAUAUAUAUAUAUAUAUAAUAUAUAUAUAUAUAUAUAUAUGAUAUACACACGUUCUCUCAUGACACUUACGUUCAAAGGUAAAUCAUCUCAUAAGAUGGAAACCCUGGUUUAAUCUCUACCUGAUCAAACAAUCAAGGUAUAAUAGCAUAUGAAUUUAUCGAUUUAAUAAUCUGAAUGACCUGGAAAGGGCCUGGAUCGUAACACCUUACACUAUUACUACAAACUGACGAAUGUUUGAUAUGGGACAAUUUUGGUUUUCAUAGAUAACUCUUAGCAUAGCAUAAAGACCUGGCUUCAAAACACUGGUUGUUCCUCGUGGAUGUCGGAGCACUUACUUAUAAAAGACAUUUCUAGUAUGCGUUCAAAAUUAUACACGAGCUAUUUACAAUGUAUCCUAAUGUUUUGGCAAUGUUUUCUUGCCAGAUUCUCAGUGACAAAGCACUGACUGACCUCUCUAUUUUGCUAAGACUUGCAUUAUUCUAUCAGUCAGCUCCAGAAUACUUCUCUAGCAUCUUGUCAUAUAUACUUAAUACUUUGUGAGCAAUCAGAUUGAUCAAAGCUGAUGGAUUGUGAGUCAACAAGAAUUCUGCAAGACAAGGCACAGAAUCUGUGAGUGGUUUGGAAGUUGAACGAAGCACUAACAGGAUUUGUUAGAUCCCACUUAAAACAAUUUUUGUGACAUUUUUCGGAAUUGUUUUUUUUUUUUUUUUUUUUUUUUAAAGAAUUCCACCAUCUAGUAUCUGAUGAAUGGUUAAGUUACCUUUGAUGGCAUUCCUUCGUAAGCAGUAUUUCACUCCUUCCUGGAAAAGAUCUUAGUUAAACUGACCAAGAUUAUCUUGGGGAUUGACUAUGAUAACCAAUUUUUUUCUUGGUGCUCAUCAGAAUUAUGUUUCUUGCCAAUACAAUGGUAUGUCUUGAGAAGCAGGGAGGAUGACAAUGUCUUUGCUAUAAGAGUGAAAAUUUAUCUAUUUUCAGUCAUCUUGUAAAUGCUCCAACAGUCCCCUGUCUCUCUGGAAGGGAUUUGCUUUGUAGUCUGUACGACAAGUCCACUGUAAAUGAUGCUAUCAAUUGGCUCCCUUUUUCUGUGUAUGUUGUUUAAAAUAUAGGCAUAGAUUGAUUUGCUAAUUCUUCUGGUAUAAAGAUGUCUUGAGUUCUUCAUAUGGCAAUCUCCCCAAAAGGAUAUCUGCUCAAAUAACCAUGCAAUACAAAGAAAAAAGAGGGGGGGAUCCCUAUUUAUGGUCUUUCUAGUGAAGUCCCUGUAUUACUGGAACUCUGUAGUUGUGUACAUGUUUGUUCCAUUGGAUUAAAUUGUUCUGCAACUAAAACCUAUUUCCCAGCUGUGUAAUAUGGUAUGAAUUCUAAAUGAAGGUUGUUGACAUAUAUAUAUAUAUAUAUAUAUACAUAAAUAUAUAGAUAUAUAUAUGUACACAUACACACAAAGUUUUUCGAAUAACUCCAUUUGGUUAUUAUGUAUGACCACUUUUCGUUGCUGUCUUAUUUUAGAUUCUGAGUUUUUUGGGGAGCUUAGUAGAGUCACGACUUGGUCUGCCUCUUCAGGUAAAGAAAGGAUUAAAAUGCUUUGUUUCAUUAGAACUACUUAGUCCCAUUUUACAAAUAAUUAAUUGGUUUAUAAGCCAGUUAUUAACAAAUCUCUUAACAACCCUUUCAUUUCUGUAUUUUGUUAAAAGUGGUACAGCAUUCUACCAUCUCUCCCUCUUAAUGGGCCCUAAAUGUCGGCAUGACACUUGUGUCUUUGAUAGGAGUUACUAACAGAGCACAGAAUAGUUUAGUCCCAUUACUAACAUCCUACUUCUCUAUAAUAAUUUUUUUUAUUACCAAGUUUGAAAAAGAAAGAGGGGAAAAAAAAACUCCAACCUGAGAAAACAAUUAUUUUAGCUAAGUGGGUUGUGAACAUGUGACUGCAGCCUAGUAACGAGUUUCAUUCUGAAUCGGUGAAAGCAGUUCUCUCCCUCGAAAUAGACUUCCUUUAAAGUUGGACAAUGAAAGAAGACCUAGGAGUUGUUAAAAGCUGUUUUGAAGUUCAUAGAGGAAAAAAAAAAAAAUCUUAAAACAAACAAACAAACAAAAAAAAAAAACUUCCAAGCUUUUCAUCAAUUUUGAAUAUUUUAUUAUUUUUGACAGUUAUUUUAUUUUUUAUUUUUUUUUUUGUAAGUGUGGAAGGAAGGAAAGAAAAGACCGAGAAAAGGGAAGAAUAGAAUGCAUGUACAUAUAUAUAUAUAUAUAUAUAUAUAUAUAUAUUUGUCAUUUGGUUUCCUUGACUCAGAAAGAUCUGUACACAAAUAUGUCCUUUACACAUUUAGACAAGAAAGAAUGAGAGUCGCAAUCCAAGCUGUUACUUUCUCUUAUUUCCUUUCUGUAUGUUUUCAUUUAUUGUCUUAAAUCUCAUUAAUUCUCAUCAUAUAUAAUUAUAAAUGCACAUGUAUAUAUAUAUAUAUAUAUAUAUAUAUAUAUAUAUAUAUAUAAAACUUAUGUAUCAUCAUCGCUUAACAUUCACAUUGCAUGCUUGUAUGGUUUGACAGGGUGACAAAUCUGAAGGCUGUAUCAUGCUCCUGUGUCUGCCUUGGCAUAGUUCUGUAGCUGGACACCCUUCCUAAUUCCAACCACUUUACAUUCAUAUAUAUUAUACAUAUGAUGUGUGCAUAUAUAGAUGAUAGUAAGGGCCUUUAGUCAGGAAAUUGGCCUCAAUAAAUUGAGAGCCAUGCAAGCACAGAAGUGGAUAUUGAAUAAUAAUGAUGAUAUAUAUAGGCGUAGGAUAUAUAUCAGUUACUAAAAUUCAAAUAGUUCAACUUACGAGGUGGUGAACUCACAGAACCAUUAUUAUUACCAUGCUGGGCAAAAUGCUUAGCGCCAUUUUGUCCAUCUUUACAUUCUCUGUUCAAAUUCCACCGUAGCCAACUUUGCUUUCAUCCUCUUGGGGUUGGUAAAAUAAGUACCUGUUCAGCUCGGGCGGGUGGGGAGGCGCAUGGAUUGGUUUAACCGACUCCCCCCCCCCCGCCUCCCAAACUGCUGGCCUUGUGCUAAAAUUUGAAACCAGUAAUAGUUCCCCUGCCAUGCAUGCUUUGUCUUCCUUUUUCUUCAAUGAAUGAAUUCUUUCUACUCUUAGAUUUUUCGUUUGAUUCUUUUUAUUUAUUUAUUUAAAUCUUAAAGCAAUGAUGAAUUUCUUUCUUCCAGCCUGUUUGUAUGGGAGAAGUAAUUCAUGGAACAUUAUUUCUGUUAAUUAAUUUAGCCUUUUUUUUUUUUUUUUAUUAUCAGCAAUAUUUCUAUUAGUUUUGCUUUUUAAUGUGUAAUAGACUAUUUGCAUUCUUCAUUUUUGCAUCAUUAUUUUUGUAAAUAACUGUUUUUCAGUUUAAAAAAAAACAUUCUGUGAAAACGA